UGGGGAAUAUUGCACAAUGGGGGAAACACUGAUGCAGCAACGCCGCGUGAGUGAUGACGGCCUUCGGGUUGUAAAGCUCUGGCUUCAGGGACGAUAAUGACGGUACCUGAGGAGGAAGCCACGGCUAACUACGUGCCAGCAGCCGCGGUAAUACGUAGGUGGCAAGCGUUGUCCGGAUUUACUGGGCGUAAAGGGAGCGUAGGCGGACUUUUAAGUGAGAUGUGAAAUACCCGGGCUCAACCUGGGUGCUGCAUUUCAAACUGGAAGUCUAGAGUGCAGGAGAGGAGAGUGGAAUUCCUAGUGUAGCGGUGAAAUGCGUAGAGAUUAGGAAGAACACCAGUGGCGAAGGCGACUCUCUGGACUGUAACUGACGCUGAGGCUCGAAAGCGUGGGGAGCAAACA
rnacentral:rRNA from 1 species